rnacentral:rRNA from 1 species
AGAGUUUGGAUCCUGGCUCAGGACGAACGCUGGCGGCGUGCUUAACACAUGCAAGUCGAACGAGGUUCAAUCAUUCGCAAGUUUGAGGAAGAUCGAGUGGCGAACGGGUGCGUAACACGUGAGGAACCUAUCCCAGUCUCUGGAAUAACAGGUGGAAACACCUGCUAAUACCGGAUACCGCUGGACCAUCGCAUGGUGGACCAACGAAAGAUUUAUCGGAUUGGGAGGGCCUCGCGGCCUAUCAGCUUGUUGGUGAGGUAACGGCUCACCAAGGCGUCGACGGUAGCUGGUCUGAGAGGAUGAUCAGCCACACUGGGACUGAGACACGGCCCAGACUCCUACGGGAGGCAGCAGUGGGGAAUCUUGCACAAUGGGCGAAAGCCUGAUGCAGCAACGCCGCGUGCGGGAAGAAGGCCCUAGGGUUGUAAACCGCUUUCAGCAGGGAAGAAAAUGACGGACCUGUAGAAGAAGGUGCGGCCAACUACGUGCCAGCAGCCGCGGUGACACGUAGGCACCAAGCGUUGUCCGGAUUUAUUGGGCGUAAAGAGCUCGUAGGCGGUUCGGUUAAGUCGGUGUGAAAACUCCUGGGCUCAACCCCAGAGACGCCACCU